rnacentral:rRNA from 1 species
GACGAGGGGUCCAAGCGUUGUUCGGAAUCAUUGGGCGUAAAGCGGGUGUAGGUGGCUCUGUAAGUCAGGAGUGAAAGCCCCGAGCUUAACUUGGGAAGUGCUUUUGAUACUGCAGAACUUGAGUGUGGGAGAGGAUCGUGGAAUUCCAGGUGUAGUGGUGAAAUACGUAGAUAUCUGGAGGAACACCGGUGGCGAAGGCGGCGAUCUGGCCCAACACUGACACUGAGACCCAAAAGCAUGGGGAUCAAACAGG